UACGUAGGGGGCUAGCGUUGUCCGGAUUUAUUGGGCGUAAAGAGCGUGUAGGCGGCCAGGUAGGUCUGCUGUGAAAACUCGAGGCUCAACCUCGAGACGUCGGCGGAAACCAUCUGGCUAGAGUCCGGAAGAGGAGAGUGGAAUUCCUGGUGCAGCGGUGAAAUGCGCAGAUAUCAGGAAGAACACCCGUGGCUAAGGCGGCUCUCUAGUACGGUACUGACGCUGAGACGCGAAAGCGUGGGGAGCGAACAGG
rnacentral:rRNA from 1 species